GCGGCGGAGAGCACGACGCGCCUCCUCCUCGUAUUUCCUCCCCCGCCCACUUCCAGCGGCGGAGGGGCUCGCUGCCGCCGCCGGCUGCCGCCCGGGAUGGAAAGUUGUAGCCGCGGCGGGAUGCGCGGCGCGGCGCAUACGGAUUAACUGAGCCCUUUGACAAGUUUAUGGAGCUGCCAUCUCUCUGCUUGCUGUACUUUCCGUUUCUGAGAGGAGAAAGUGGUGCAUGAGAUUAGAGGAAAAUGCCUCGGACAAAGCAGAUACAUCCCAGAAAUCUGAGAGACAAAAUUGAAGAAGCACAAAAACAACUUAAUGGAACAGAAGACCAACAGAGAGAAAUCACCGAUGCUGGUACUAGAGGAACCCAAGAUACAAUUAAGGGUGUGAAAAGAAAAAAGAUUGUUUCUGAAAACCAUCUUAAAAAAAUACCAAAAUCGCCUUUGAGAAGCCCUGCUGAAGCCAAGGUUAAGCAAAAUGUAGACCCUUCACCGCUGAAAGCUCUUCCGGAUGCCUCCGAACAUGCCACAGCACAGGAUCACCUGCCCAUGCAAAAUGGAAAUCAAUGUACCAAACAAAAUGGGGGAGCACUUAGCGGUGAGAUAAGUGUUGAAACAACCAAAUCUGAGACAUCAAUGCAGACAAAGCUUUCACUGACGCAUCAGUCCUUAGAUUUGUGUAAACAGGCAGCGGGGGAUACUGAUGCAAACCAACUGAACUCAGCAGAGAGGAAGGCUCCCUCAAACUCCUCAUCAAGUAAUACAAAGACUGACAGUAAUGAAUGUAUUAACUUUGUUGAUUGCAGCACGUCGUCCCCAUGUACGCGUACUGCAUUCGAUGUCUUACUAAAAGCUAUGGAGCCUGAACUGAACACCUUAGCACAAGAGUGCCCCCCUUAUGGGAUGCAGAUAGAGAAACUGAGACCAAAUAAAACUGUAAGCACCUCUUCUAGUCUCACGUCCAAUACAAUAAGUGUCCAAAAUCAGUCGUCUUUGUCACAGCAGGAGUUUGCAGCUGGACCUCCCUAUUACCCAUGUACGUUGAACAAUGUGCAUGUAGCAACAACAGCCAAGACUGGACAAGCACAAGGCCAAUCAGUUUCUCAUUCACAAGACCUUAUUACUAAAACCAGUCAGCAAAAUCACCAGGUUGUUAUGUGUCCAAGUUUAACUAGGUCGCUGGUGCAACAGCAGAGUCAAGAAAACCCCAAGCUCCAGCAGAUCUACAGCAUAGCAGUAACUUCAUCUGUUGUUCACACCUCAUCUUCCACUGUAACUCAGGUUUUUUCUCAAAACCCCUUAGUAGCUAGUUCGUCUUCACCAUUGUCAAUUAACACAUCAAGUUCAACACACUUGUCUAUAGGUCCCGUGUAUAAUUCAGCCCAGAUAGCAUCAGUUGUAAACCAUGGUGUAGAACAAAUAUGUAACCUCUUGAAAGACCAGAAGCCUAAAAAGCUGGGGAAAUAUGUCUGUGAGUAUUGCAAUCGGGCCUGUGCCAAGCCCAGUGUUCUCCAAAAGCACAUCCGAUCCCAUACUGGAGAGCGACCAUAUCCUUGUGUGACAUGUGGAUUUUCGUUUAAAACCAAAAGCAAUCUCUACAAGCACAAAAAAUCUCAUGCACACGCUAUCAAACUUGGACUUGUCCUGCAACCAGAUUCAGGUGGCCUGUUCUUAUCUCAUGACUCAGACAAAGCACUUAGCAUUCAUUCAGAUGUGGAAGAAAGCGGUGAAAGUGAAGAUGAAGGCACUGCAGAUGAAAGACAAGAUGAUCAAGAACUGGAACCUGCACAAUUAGUGAAAGUAAUUUCAAGUGCAGAAACACUGCAGAAAGGAAGCCCUAUUCCAUUAAGCAACCCAGACUGUGUAUCAGGUGACUCUUCAUUACAUGAUGCAGAACCUCAAGUAAGGGCAGCUUUACCAAAAGUAGUGGUUCAUUCUGUAAAUGUUUCUCCAUUGAGGGCCGAUAGCCCAAAAGUGACAGAGCCAGCACCUGAGCUUGCUGCAGCACAGAGAAAAGGAGAUUCUAAAGUCACAACCCUUCAGACAAAUUUAACACAUGCAGCCUCAUUCAAGGAGAAUGACAUAAAGCAGCGUCAGAAAGUAGAAGCAGGCCUGUUAGAGGAACAGCCAGGAUCUACAGGAGGACCAGUGCAUGCUCAGCUCCAGAGACAACAGGCUACUGAUGGUUCUCAGGAUCAGCAAGGAAAAUGUCUUUUGAGCCCUAGAAGUUUAGGUAGUACUGAUUCCGGUUAUUUCUCUCGUUCCGAAAGUGCCGAUCAAACAAUGAGCCCUCCAGCUCCUUUUAUAAGGGGAUUGUUGACCUCUGAGAAAGAUCCAAAUAAAAAUCUGCCCUGUGUGCCACGAGCAAGUGGCGUGGUAGCAUCAGUGGUACAAACUGUUUGUGCUGACAAAAAUCUGAUUCUCUCUGGCCAAAUGCGACCACCCUUGGCAACAAAAACUCUUGAGGAGCGUAUCUCAAAGUUAAUUUCUGAUAAUGAAGCUGUUGUGGAUGACAAACAGUUAGAUAGUGUGAAACCAAGAAGAACAUCUCUUUCAAGAAGAGGAAGCAUAGAUUCACCAAAAUCUUACAUAUUUAAGGACUCUUUCCAGUUUGAUUUAAAGCCCAUGGGAAGAAGAACUAGCUCAAGCUCUGAUAUACCAAAGUCUCCUUUCACACCUACUGAGAAAUCCAAGCAAGUUUUUCUUCUUUCUGUACCAUCCCUUGACUGUUUACCUAUAACACGAAGUAAUUCCAUGCCUACCACCAGUUACUCAGCAGUACCUCCUAAUGUCAUACCUCCUUCUCAUCCUCUUCGAGGAAGCCAGUCAUUUGAUGAUAAAAUUGGCUCUUUAUACGAUGAUGUUUUUGUGUCGGGACCUGCUGCUCCACUGAACCAAGGUGGACAUCCUCGGACCCUGGUCAGACAGGCAGCAAUAGAAGAUUCUUCUACUGGUGAAAGCCAAGGUCUUGGACCUGUGCGAUCUGUAGAAGAAAAUUAUCUGGGGUGUAAUUUAUCAAAUGAAUCCUUAUUGCAAAGGAGCAAAUCUCUGGCACAGGGAUCAAAUUCAGAAAAAACAAAGAAGUCCCCUCAGGUGCGAGGAACAAUGUUUGAAUGUGAAACCUGCAGGAACAGAUAUAGAAAACUGGAAAAUUUUGAAAACCACAAGAAAUUUUAUUGUUCAGAGUUGCAUGGACCUAAAACUAAAGCAGCAGUCCGAGAGCCUGAGCACAAAACUGCUCCAAACAGUACACAGCCUCAAAUUCUACACUACAGAGUCACAACUUCAACUGGUGUCUGGGAGCAGACACCCCAGAUAAGGAAAAGAAGGAAAAUGAAAAGUGUUGGUGAUGAUGAUGACCCACAGCAAAAUGAUACGAGUGUACUAUUGAAGAACGCAGAAGGCCAAAGCAAGGCAGAAAAUUCUUCCAGUCUGUCAAAACACAGUGCCACAACUGUGGUAGGAUCACAACAACCAAGCAAACUUCUACUUCAGAAUUCCCAAAUUCAGCUUGUGGCUCGUGGCACAGAUCAGACUACUGAGCCAAAGACAGCUUCCCUCAUUGAAAAGCAGGCAAGUUCAGCUGUGCAAGAAAAGGUGGAGUUGAAAAGACAAGGGACUGGCAUUUCAGUAAUACAGCACACAAAUUCACUGAGCAGAAAUAGCUCAUUUGAGAAAUCAGAGUCAUUUGAAAGAGUAUCCCCAGUUUCUUCUCAAGAGCCCAACAAGGGUGCAAAGCACCGCUCUUUGAAUACAGUUGUAAUCCAAGAAGACAGACACUCUCAUCUGAGCACUCCCCAGCGUCACCAGCCCUUGUCAUCAGAACCACCUAGAGGGGAAGUUCAGGGAAGCCAAUUAGUUUCUAAUGAGAGAAGUGUGCCACUUCAGCCAUCAAGACUCGUUCGCCAGCAUAACAUCCAGGUUCCUGAAAUACUGGUCACAGAAGAACCAGACAGAGAGCAAGAAAACCAAUGCAAUGACCCAGAAAAGACAGAAAGGUUUAACUGGCCACAACGCAGUGAAACACUGUCAAAAUUGCCAACAGAAAAGCUUCCACCGAAAAAGAAGAGAAUUCGGCUGGCUGAAAUGGAACAUUCAUCUGCUGAAUCCAGUGUUGACUCCACACUUUCCAGAAGCCUAAGUCGGGAGAGUAGCUUGUCUCAUGCCUCCAGUUUCUCAACUUCACUUGAUAAAGAUGAAACUGUAAAGGCUGAGAACCCUUCCAAAGCAGAGCCCAUUAGUAAGUCGUCAGAAUUCCUCAUGAUUCCUGCUGGCUCACACGCACUGGCAGUGCCUGGACCUCAUUACCGGGAAAUGCGACGUGCUGCCUCAGAGCAGAUCAGCUGCACGCAGCCCUCAAUGGAGGUUGUGGACUACAGGAGUAAGUCUUUCGACUGUGGAAGCAUGUCUCCAUCAAAACCUGUCCCGCUUGUAGAGGUAGCCGCUCCAAAAGUGUCGUCUGCAAACGGAGCUGCUGGACAUGUGCCUCUGCUAGAAAGGAGAAGGGGGCCAUUUGUAAGACAAAUAUCUUUAAAUAUUGCUCCUGAAAAUCAACAGCCUCAAGUGAAAUCGACUUCUUCAUUGCAGGCAGCUCAUGCCACAGAUGUGCCCACAGUGCCAUUGCACAGGCUGCAGUCCUCUGGCAAACUCUCGGUGGAGUUUCCUUCAAGUACUCAGCACUCACAGACUAACUCCAGACCUCAUUCAACUAUUCAAAAUUGUAAUCCUGUUAGCCUGUCUUCGCCUCAGCAGCCUCUAGAUCACAUGUUGAAUAAUCAAGGCCAGCCAUCCUUGACUCAUCAGCCUUCUCAGCCGUCUACUAAAACAUCAGCCCAAGGGGAGCAAGCAAGCGUGGACUCACUUUCUUGUCAUCCUGAUGAAAAAAAGGACUGUUUUGCUCCAAAGUAUCAACUUCAAGUUAAAACAUUACAUAUAGGUCAGCCAUACUCUUCUAAAUUACUAAAAAAUACUUUAUCAACCCAGACUGGUUCAAAUCAAGUUGGAGUGGACCAGAAUGCAUCUUCCUUUGAAGUGCAGACAAAACUCUCUGACGUGUCUAAUCCAUACUCUGUGCCUCCUCUAAAGCAAAUUGUUCCUAAUAACUGCAACAGUCAGAUCCAUCAGAUUCCUCCUUUUGUGGUUCCCGUUCGUAUUCAGAGCAGCAUGCCAUCCUAUGGCUUCGCAACUGUUACACCCCUGCCUCACAUUUUAGUGACCCAGGAUCAGGGAAAUCAGUCCCUCUGCAAAACAAAUGUUGUGAUGGUGCCAACACUUGAAGGCAAAACUCAGCUGCCAAAAUCUCACAAAGAUCAUCAGAGGACUUUGCCAAAUUCAUUUGAAUUUGAAAAUUCACCACUGGAAAGUGGAACCAGAAAUUCACCUUUGUCAAGCUCUUCAAAUAUCAUUCAGAAAGUGCCAGUUAGCGGACUCUUUCCUCAGCCAGAAGUUACAGCUUCAAGUAAACGAAUGCUUUCCCCAGCAAACAGUUUAGAUAUUGCCAUGGAAAAACAGCAAAAACGUGUUAAAGAUGAGAGUGGAGCUGCUUGUAUGACAGAUGCUAGACCAUUGCAUUCACUGAACGUUAGAUCUAAUGACCCUACUAGUAAGCAAAAGAAACCAGUUUUGGUAAGACAGGUUUGCACCACAGAGCCUCUUGAAAAUCACCUCUUGGAUCCUGAUGUUGUUACACAGCAUGAAAAAAACAGCAAGGCCAGUACUUCAGACCUGCCUGACCAUCAAUCAUCUGACACUGGGGUUUCAGAAACCCUAAAAAAGUCACCAGAAUCUGAAGACCUCAAGUCUUCCACAUCACCAGUAUUUGUAGUUAGGAAACCUUCUGAAUUGUCUCCAGUGAAUAGUUCUCUUCUCAAGGCUGUAAGUAGCAGCCAAGAAAGAAGGUCCCCAACUAACAGUGAUGAGAGCACCCACAUCAGCAGCCCAGGCCAAGCAAAGCCUGUAGCGACACUGGCUGUGAUGAAUGCAGGAGAAUUGCAGAGGUUGUCGUUUCCAAGCCUCAAGACCACAACAAAUUUUACCUGGUGUUACCUCAUGAAGAGAAAACCAUUGCACCUGCUGCAAAAUGAUCAAAAAAUCUCUGCCUAUUCUACAUGGACCAUUAGUCCCAACAACCCCAAUCCACUCGGUUUGUCGACAAAGGUAGCUCUCUCCCUCCUCAAUUCCAAACAGAAAGUUGAAAAGCCACUGUACACUCUAGCAAGAACUACUCUCCCCAGAUCUGAUGUAUUGGUCUAUUCAAGCAAGUGGAAGAACAGCUUGACCAAGAGAGGAUUAAACAGGAAAAAAUUGACUCCAGCUGAAUUCAGCAAUAAGGAAAACUCUGAAUCGAGCACUGAACAUGAUAAAGAAAAUUCAUUUAUCAAAACUGUACCAAGAAGAGUUAAAAUAUUUGAUGGAGGGUACAAGUCAAAUGAAGACUAUGUGUAUGUGAGAGGGAGAGGGAGAGGGAAGUAUAUCUGUGAGGAGUGUGGAAUACGCUGCAAGAAGCCCAGCAUGCUGAAGAAGCACAUUCGCACACACACCGAUGUCCGUCCUUACCACUGCAAUUACUGCAACUUUUCCUUCAAAACUAAGGGCAAUUUAACGAAGCAUAUGAAGUCAAAGGCACAUAGCAAGAAAUGCAUGGAUUUGGGAGUCUCAGUAGGCUUAAUAGAUGACCAGGAUGGAGAAGAAGAAUUUGGUGAGAAGCAAAGAUUUGGCUAUGACCGGUCAGGAUAUGACGUGGAGGAGUCUGAUGGUGGCGAUGAAGAUGAGAAUGACAACGAGGACGAUGAUGAAGACAGCCAGGCUGAGUCGGUGCUAUCCACAACGCCCUCGGUGACAGCCAGCCCCCAGCACCAGCCCUCUCGCCACGGCCUGCAGGAUGCCGCCUGCACCGAUGACGACAUCAGGCUUCCAGACUGCUUCACCGGGGCUCACACGGACUCCAUGGAUGGCCUCCCAAAAGCACUGCUGACCAAGAUGACUGUCCUUAGCACAGUGCAGUCGGUCAGCAGGACCUCCAGGUCGCCAGCAGAGUCCACCCAUCAGGAAGCACACGAGGACAAAGCCCAGGAGAGAGGAGUGGGUCCCUGCGGUGCUGAUGCGGCACUGACGGACAUUGCUCCUGCAUCUCCAGGUCGCCAGAUGUCCGUGGAUUACCCUGAUCCACAUACAGCCUUGGGCCACUCCUUAAUAUCAACUGCAGCUCUUACAAAGAGCACGCCCUCCAUCAGCUCCCCGUCCUCGCUGGCAGACCACAGCAUGCCGACACCGACAGCGCCGUCACCCUACAGCGAAAUCCCGGAGGAGAAGCCGGCUGCCGAGCCGAGAGCUCCCCAGACUCACCUCUUCAGCCACCUGCCCCUGCACUCGCAGCGGCAAGCCAAGGCUCCCUACGGCAUGGUGCCCGUCGGGGGCAUCCAGGUGGUCCCUGCCGGCCUAGCCACCUACUCCACCUUCGUUCCCAUCCAGGCGGGGCCGGUGCAGCUCACUAUCCCAGCCGUGAGCGUGAUUCACAGAACUACCAGCGCCCUUGGCGAGACCGGCGGCACGGCCCCCGGCACCACCGCGAAUCCCGUGGGAGUCGCUGAGGUGAACAGCGUGGUGCCGUGCAUUCCCAUCGGCCAGGUGAGCGUGCCGGGCAUUCAGGGGCUCGGCACGCCCAACCUGCAGCCUCUGCCGCCACUGGGCAUGGAGACAGUGAACAUCCUGGGCCUGGCAAACACCAAUAUCGCCCCGCAGAUGCGCCCCCCGGGAAUCACCCUCAACGCCGUGGGCCUCCAGGUGCUGACAGCCGGCGCGGCCCCGCAGGGCACCAACCCCAGCCCACAGGGACCCCUUCCUGGCCUGCAGAUCCUGAACAUCGCCCUGCCCACCCUCAUCCCCUCCGUCAGCCCCGCCAGUGCCGACGGGCACGGAGCCUCCGAGGCACCCACCGUGGGCUCCAAAGCCAGCGAGGUCCAGCUGGAGCCCGCUCCUGUCGGCUUCCCCACGGCCGAGGCCGGCCGCGAUGCUUCUCCUCAGGCGGUGGCUGGUGGCCAGCGGUACGGCGGGAAGAGCCAUCCCGAGCCCAACCCCGUGACCAACCCCGCUGGUCCCGGGAAAGCUGAUCCUGAAAAGACUGACCUCGCCAACCCCAGCAAGCCAAAGCGUGACCUCCCUGCCCUCCAGGUGAAGAGGGCUGCCCCGGCAGAGCCCCGCUCCAAGGUGUUUUGAAGACGCCAAGGGCAAGAGAUGGAAGCAUAUCUUGAAGAGUAAGAAUGACAUGACAACAGAUAUGUCAUAAGGAGGAACAUUAAGAUGUGUCACUUGUGCUUCAGAGCAAGAGCUCACACAUCUAAUGCUGAUUAAUGCUGCUGGACUGAGCAACUGGCUCCCCUGUGGAUAUCCUGUUUUCCUGUGAAUCAUCACUCCUUGAGACAUCCUCCAACUCAGAUCAAAGGUCCCGAAUGUAUUAGAUAUGAAGACAUCAGACAGCUCUAACAGAUUAGAAAAGACACACACAAAGAAGUGUGCCCCAGCUUCUCCCUCAUGUCCUGCUGAAAACUGGCACAAUGAACAUAAUCCUAAGCUCUUAUCAUAAAAAGUAGAAAGACAAAAAAGAAGAAAAAAUGGAGAGAGACUUUGGGAAUGUAGUAUACCCGAAGAUUUCUGCAAUUUGCCCUUUCUAGGUAUUUGCACUUUUGUACUUACUUAGUUCUCCCUUACAGUUGUGAACUUCUCAGGCCAGAUUCUCAUCUGAUGGAAAAUGACACCCUUGAGCUUCAGCAAGACCUGCACCAACUGUGUCAGCAGAGGACUUGGGACUAUCCCUUUAAGCACUGAGCCUUGCCUACAAACACAAAAAUUAAAGAAACAUGAACACCUGUGGUCUGUUUUUUUCACGUUUGUGUAGUCUGCUGCAUCCUCUGUGGUUUUAUUCAAUUUUCCAUAUAGCUACAUGAACAACUGAAAGGGUCCUGUGCCAGUGAGAUGCCAAAACCUGAGGUCAUGAGGUCAAACUAGAUUAUCUUAAUAGUCUCUUCCCCCCUUGCAAUCUUUGCACACAGGUUUUAUCUGAUAAAGGAGUUAAAGUCUUUAUUUCAGCAACGUUUGAUCUUGAAGAUUACACAAAUAAUUAGUCUUUUAAGCUUCUGAGCUUUUUUUAAAAUAGAAUUUUAAACUCUCCUUUUAAUGGAUGCCUUUUAAUCCUUAUGUUUAAGUGUAAGAGCCAUGCUUGAUCUAAGAGGACAGACAAUGUGUUUGGAUAGUCAGAAGGCCAUUUUUAUGGGAAUGUUUGAAGAAUGCAUUGUGUUUUUUCAAGCUCUUCCUCCAGUCAGUGGAAAGAGCUGACUGAGGGACCAGAGGACAGUCUUUUGUUGUCACGAAGCUCCUAUCAAAGAAGAUAGGACGUGCUGCUCUUACGUCUUAGAGUGGACUGUGCCAGACUUUCUUUUUUUGUCCUAGACUUCUAACUCUUCUUGUAUCCUUCUGCACUUGGAAGGGAAAAGAAACCCUUUUAACCUUAUGCACUGUGAUUACUCACUUGAAGGCAGUGGAGGAAAGAAUACCCAGCAGGAGCACACUCUGCAAACACUCAGCAAAAUCAUUGGAUCUGCAUAUUUUUAAUCAAUGAGGUCUUGGCAAAAUAAAGGGUGGUCAUUUUUAUCCAGACUGUAGUUUGUCCAAGUCCCUGGGUGAGGUUCAGCUGUUUAUGUUUUCUUUGAGGAAAAAUCUCCUCAAGGCCCGGUGCUGAGUCGUUCUUUGCCUCCAAAAAAACCCCCAGUGUGGGAGUGCUGGCAUAUGGCAGGGCUCUGAGAGGCAUGUGAGCUGAGCCCAGAGUUUGCCCCUGAUGCAGCUCAGGCAGCCAUCAGGGCCACUGCAACCACCCAAAGGAGCUGGGACUGGGUUUGAAGGAAUUAGAGCCAAAUGACAUGAAAAAUAUUAACCUUCUGCAUAGAAACAGAAACCUCACUGCCCAUUCCUGAGGACAAACGGAUAAUCUUUUUUAUUUUCAGUAUCAGUGGAAUUGCUGUUGUUUUCAUUACCUUCUCCUUUUAAUUGGAUCCAUGUAUGCAAUACACAUGUAUUUAGAAAUGCACUGGAAAUAGUGAUGGAUAACAUUGUUUUCCAACAUUUGAAAGAGGAGGGGGGCAAUUGUUGGUAUGUCCAGUCUGGGAAGCAGUAGGAAUACCACAGCACAUGCUUGAGACUUCGCUAGGCAUGUAGGACAUUAAACCAGAUGCUUCACCUCCCUCACAUUCCUCCCUGCCAGUUCAUCUGGGGCAGGGAUAAGGGAGCUGGGGACUGCUGCCUUUUUACCCAGUGCUGCCUUGUUCCUCAAAAGGGCUCAGCCUCUUACCUCCUCCUGCUGGGGACCAUCUACUGAGCACACCUCAUGUUCUGUACGUGCACGGUAACACAGUUUUGUCAGGCCCAGCAAAUCAUGCCAUGCCUUGGGUUGGAACGGGUUGUACUGCACUAAAUAGUUUAUUUAGUUGUUGUUUUGGACUUCAGAGGCCAUCUCAUUCCAACCCCUCUGCCAUGUGCAGGGCUGCCCCCCUUGCGGAAUACUGACCAGACAAUAAACCUGUUGGAGUAAUGAUGAUGCCAAGCCAUCACUUCCCGGGGGAAAGUGGAGCUGGAGGUUGUGUGUGUCUCACCAGCAAUCGUCUUGUGACUUUCUGGCCCAGCAUAAAAAAAGAGAGCUCUCUGAGAAGGGGUUGGAAUUUGAUGCUUGGGAAGGUGAUGGGAAAUACUUUUCAAAUAUUUGAUUGGGCCAGAAAAUUAGGACAAAGAAGCCAAAGCCUGGCCUCAGCAUUGUCACAAGCAGUUCCUACUGCCUUUGGGAAGGCCAGGAUUUCACUCAUGGAUUUUUAACGCUGGCACAGAGACAGUGUCUUACAACAGAGGAUGGGCAUUUCUGGCUCUGUGGGGAUUGCUGUUAAUGACACUGGAAAGUGAUUUUUUUUUCUAUUUUUUUUUAACCUGGCAUUGCUCCUUCAAGCAAAUUAAAGUCUGAUAGGUUCACAUUUCUAUGUGUCAUUUACCCAGACACCUACUGCAGGGCCUAAAGCUUGUGGCUGCUGGAGAGAUUAAAUCCUACUAAUGCGCUUUUCCUAACACACUGAGGGAAUCUGGAGUCUCUCCUUUUGAAGCUGACUUGCUAUUUUGACUAAUUGCUUCUGGUAACAGUUAAUAGCAUUUUGCAAAGGCACUUCAUCUGCUGACAGCAGAUUGAUGUAAGGAAGGGACACAGUUCACAUUUCCAAAGGGAGCAUUGGGAAACCCAUUACCAG